rnacentral:lncRNA from 1 species
CUUGGUGUUUUUUAAUUAUUAUUUUUUAUUGUGUUUGAGCUAAGAUCUUUACCUUUGAGGUGAGUACGACCCUUGCUUGUUACUUGUCUACCUUGAUAAUCAAUCUAUACAGGCACAAGAAGGAACUUCAAAUAAAAAUAUAAUCUUUUGAUUAGAGAAGGUUUUACUACUCCAUCACCUCCCAACACAGAUAAAGUACAUAUUCACCCACAAUAAGAGCACAAGUAGAAUAUAUAAAUCAGACUCCUAAGUUACACUUUAUAAAUUUGAGUAAAGUGCGAAAGCAAAAAUAAAACAAGAAGUGAAACUCCCCCAUAAUGAGUGUACUCAUAAACAUAGUGAAAGAACCAUUUUUUCACCAAACAAACCAUACGAACGAAACUUACAACCAUUCAAACACCUCCCUUUCAACAACCUUAACACCAAAACAUUUGAGGCAUUUCUUAGUCACCUAGGAACUUAGACCACAAUUCAAAGAGUUAGUAGAAACUCAAGGGUGCUCACAAAAAGCAAAAACGAGUAAGACAUGAAACAUAAGUAAACAUGAUGACAUGAAUAAUCACAAGAGCCGACUUUUCAUAACUACCAUAAUUUCCAUGCUUGUAUCAAGUGAUAUAUCGUAUAAAUCUUUCAUUCUAAGAAUAAUGUCAGAAUUGCUACGUAAUGGUUAAAAUGCAACUUUUGUGUGUGUGUGUGUGUGUGUGUGUGUGUGUGUGUGUGUGUGUGUGUGUGUGUGUGUGUGUGUGUGUGUGUGUGUGUGUGUGUGUGUCUGUCUGUCUGUCUGUCUGUCUGUCUGUCUGUCUGUCUGUCUGUCUGUGUGUCUGUCUGUCUGUCUGUUUGUCUGUGCGUCUGUCUGUCAUAUAAACAAAUACAAGUGUGUCACCUCCAAUUACUAUAAUCAAUUCAACACAUGAACAGUAAUAAAAUAUACUAACAAAAGAUACACACGAAAGGUAAGGUUUAUGUUGGCUUUAGGUUAUUAAGAAAUAUCUCUCACAAAAAGAAUAUGCAUUAUUAUUUACCAUGCAUAAUAUGAGAAACAAUGUGCCCAUAUGAUUUGUAAGUUUGUAUAUAUAUAUAUAUAUAAAUUAUGACAUUUUUAAGUCAAUCUAAGCCAACAUGGAAACAAUCCAAUAAUAUUGAGGUCGUUGAUUUUUUUUUUUUUGGAUUGGCAAGAAGGGUUGAGGGGACCCCUACUUUUUUAAAUUAUGUGUGUAAUAUCAACAAUAAUCUAUUAACGUGUUUCAAACCCACAAUUUCUCCACUUUGUGAGAGGGGUGCUACCAUUGAGCCACAACCUCAUUCACAAUGUUGAGGUCGUUGCUUUCUAAAUAUACAAAGAGUCGGACAAGGUUUCUCUUUGCUUUGUAGACAUAGAUGAUGUUUGUCUACGUAUACAUUCUCACUACAAAAGAAAACAUGCACAUACAUGUAUGGAUAUAAAAAGGUUAAUUGUGAGAAUGAGUCCAGAAAGAUAAUAAGUAUGCAUUUAUUGACAUAACACAAACAAUAGAAUAUAAGGCAAAUGUCUGCUGAUUGGCACUGCAACGGUAAUGCCAAAUGGGGGGGGGGGGGGGGGAUUGUAAUUCCAUAAUUUGUCCUUCAAAAUCUUGUGAAAACUCACCUAUGUGAUUCUUAUUGUACGAGUUGGGGGCAAAGAAUCAUCAUACUUGAAGAAUCAUUGAAAGAGUAAAGUUUUGGAUUAAGCAAAAUUCAAGGUUAUUGCAUGCGUUGCAUAUGAUAUCAUAGUUUGAUCAGAUUUUGAAAAUGUUUUGUAAAUUUUCUUAUCUUUAAUUUACAGUAUUUACUUUUUAGGGAUUAAAAACUGAUUUUUUUUUUAAACCUGUAUCUUUAAUUUACAGUUUUCGGGACAUAAUUUUUUUUUUUUUGUCUCACUACACAUCACAAUUUGGUUAGUUGUUUUACACUACGAAUCGCACUGACAAUAUUUUCAGAAAAAUAAAAAUCCUAAGUGUUCACUGUGUAAAUUUGUGUGAUACGCUACAAAAUAUUUUUUGGUAUUUUAGCAAAAUUAUCUAUUGUAGUGAUUUCAGUCUUGGGGCUCUGCGAUUCGCAUUGACAAGUUUUUCUAUAUAUUUUUUUUAAUUCUAAGCGGUCACUGUGUAUCACAUCGUAUUCCUUCUUUAUUGACUGCGCAUCACAGUGAGUCUGAAUUUCCUGAAAUAAAUUUGUUUCUAAAACUCAAAAUUAUGACCUAGGCUUUGGUUUUUUAUUUUUUACUUUUUUCUCAGGUCUAAGAGGAGGUUUAUACUCUUUUAACUAGUAUUGUCUUAUAACACAUCUCUUCAACCAAGCCUAAAAGAGAUUGUGCCUCGAUUGAUAAUUGAAAAAAAGUUUUUUCAACUUUGUGUUUUCUCUCUUGUGUUACUAUUGUCAUAUAGCUUUAGGAAUACAUGUUCUCACACACAACACAACAUUGGUUUAUUGUUGGGCGGCUAGUGCUUGAUCCCGCGCAGAGUGGAAAUUCAUGGGACCGGACUUCGGAUUGAGAAAGGACUGAGAAGUUGGGCGGUUGUAGAAUAAUGAAUGGGUACUACUUGUUGGAGCGUGUAGGUACUAUAACCUUUGUCUUGUUUCUUGUACUUUUAAUUGUUCAUAGUGGAAUUAAUGUUUUGUCUUGGAAGGGGACCGAAUCUCUUCUCCAAGUUUUAGCCGGGGUAUUUAGACGUACGGUUCUCCAUAUAAUUCUUACUGUUGUGGUGUGUGUUUAUGUUUAUUUAUUUUCAUCACCAUGAACGGUUGAAGACAUGUUUCACAUCAAUAUUCUAUGUACAUAAAAAAUUAUUUUAAAUUUUCUUUGUACUAAUACAAAUAUUUCAUCAAAAUUGUGCACUUUAGAAAAUUAAGGAAUAUUGGUAUGGAGAAAAUAAGUGAUACAAAUAAUAAAGAAGAUAUUUGAAAGUAAGUAUAGGGCCAGAAUAAAAGAUUAUAUAAGGCCUAAUUAGGGUCCGGUUUAGGGCUGGGCUAAUGUUUCAAUAUCAAAAUCAUGGCCCGCCCCUUAAAUAAAUUAAUGGGUACAUGCACAAAAUAAAUUAAUUGACUUAUCCACCUGCAAAAGUUAAUACCUAGUAGACAAAUAUAAUUGAAUUCAUUAAAGAUAAAAUAAAUCAUAUACACGUUAUUAGUCAUUUAGUACUCAAACAAUACUAGAAAAUAUAUUUCGUUCAUUCAAACUAUCAAACCUUUGAACUUUUUAUAGGUUACCAUUAACUAAAAUGUCAUUGCAAUUAUGAUUAUUUUCCACCAUAUAUAUGAAACUUGAUGAUUCCUCAAUGUAAUCAUAGUUACCUCAGUUUCACAUCACAAGUAUAUACAUUUUAUUCAUAGUAUUAAAUAACACCAAACACUAAGAAUCUCAUAAGCAUUCAUAUCAUACCAACAACAAACUCGAAAAUCACAUAACCACGUCCUGGCUUCUAGCUGUUGCUCGGGUUUAACAGUCAUACAAAAUCACAACCUAUGCCCAAUCACUAGUACACCUCCCACAGGAUGCACUCCACACAUUUGUUAUCCCCACACUGCACCUGUGUACCUUGAUCAUGAUUAAGAACCUCUACGUGAAAACCAAAACCCAAGUGGAUCCUCACCUACAAGCUUUGGCUAGCCUCAACCUAUGUCUAACUCAUGAUCUUUAAUAGCUCACUUGAGCUUUCUAAUGUGGCGCCCAGACCAACCCUGAAGCCUAUGAAGGUCUGUAGGGUCAGUUCCGUAGGCUAAGUCGUUUACGAAAUACCCAAAAAUAUAUUCUAAGUGUCAACCCGCAGGCUCAACCGUCUAGGGUAAUGUUUAAUUUCUUCAACUUAAUUCCACAAGUGUGGCAAAUGUACUAAUACUUGGGAGACCACUAAAACAUCUAACUAUCAAUCAAUCAAGCAACACUCAACAAUAAGAUUAAACUCAUUAACUUCACAUUCUAAUUCCAUUAUUUUAUUUUAUUUUCAAUUAUCCAAAUUAAAUAUAUAUCGUCUAUGGUACUAGCCAUUCUGAGGCAUUUAACAAUUAAUCUCCAUUUCAAGAGUAUAACAUUUUAAAUAUUUCUUUUUCUACUAACAAUUUUAUCAAUUGAAUGCCUAUACUAGAAAACAAAGUUGGUGACACGGGAAAUGUCGGCUAUCUAUAAUGAGGUGUCAUAUUCAGUUUGAUCCAGAAUCACAAUAUUAUACAUCUAACAUAAACAUAAUAAUUUAUAUAUCGUGGUUAGUAACAUAUAUUAUACUACUAAAUUCUAAAAAAAAAUUUGCAACAUAAAUUAAAACUACGAGUCACGGUCUGAGCAUCCAAUCUUAGAGUAUAAAACGUAAAGAAAAACUCAAUAUCGAAAACAUGACAAGUUGACAGUACAUAUACAGUAAUACAAAAUUGAAUUACACUAACAUUACCCAAUUGUUUUUUUAAUCCAAAAGCAUUUCUAUAAUAAAACAAACGAAUUAAAUAUAUCCAAUUAUCAAAACCCACAUUUCCAUUCCAUCACUCAAAUUAUAAACAUGUGUGUAUGAUGUCUGAUGAAUCCAUAUGGAUGGAAGAAUUCCAAUCAGUUAUUAUAUCUAUAUAGUCAAGGAACUCGACGAACCAACAACAAUUAGGAUGUACUUAUAUGGUUGAAUAUUGCAUAAAAGAAAUCAAUGACUUAGGUGUACACCAGUUUAGUUAAAAUCCUUUUUCUUAUAUAUAAAUAAAAUUAAAGUCCACUCACCUUCUACUGUCUGUUUACCUCUUCUUCUUCCUUUUUAAACUCUAAUCUCUGCAACUUUUCGCCAUAAUUGCUGACACCAAGUGUUGGCUUCUUCUUCUUUCAGAUUCACUGCAACUUCUUCUCCUUUCCACCUCUGCAACUCCAAUUUCCUAAACUACCGCAGCGCCACCUCUCUCUCUCUCUCUCUCUCUCUCUCUCUCUCUCUCUCUCUCUCUCUCUCUCUCUCUCUUUCUCUCUCAAAACACCCCGAGAUUUUGACCUCACUCAUCCCGGAGUGCCAAGCACCAUACCACUCGCUAAUGUUAAUAUUGUCCCCCUUUAGUUGUUGCGGAUAUCCAUCAGUAGAGGGUUUUGGAUUAGGGUCCACCCAUCUGGUUUU